UACGUAGGGGGCAAGCGUUGUCCGGAAUCAUUGGGCGUAAAGCGCGUGUAGGCGGCUCGAUAAGUCUGCUGUGAAAGUUCAGGGCUCAACCCUGAAAUGCCGGUGGAAACUGUCGAGCUAGAGUCCGGAAGAGGUGAGUGGAAUUCCUGGUGUAGCGGUGAAAUGCGCAGAUAUCAGGAGGAACACCAAUGGCGAAGGCAGCUCGCUGGGACGGUACUGACGCUGAGGCGCGAAAGCGUGGGGAGCAAACAGG
rnacentral:rRNA from 1 species